UGAGGGGAAAUGUGGACACAAACCUUCUGACCUCCAUCCCAGGGUCAACAUUCUGGGUGAACCCACUCCAGUACAGCUACACUCACUGAGUGUCUAACCCACCCAAAGGGAACAUUUAAAAGAAGCCCAGAAAGGUGAAAUCAACCCUAUUUCCCAAUGCACGUUAACAGAAUUACACAUUUAUUUAUCCAUUGACAAAGGUGCAGAAAACCACUUGGCUCUGACUGGGAAUACUAAGAUGAGAGAGCAUGCUUCCUCAUUCACUGCCAUCCUGACUAACACUCACAUCACCUAAAAGCCUGGGUGUCAGGGCCGUUGAGUCCAAUCCUGGGUUUUGGUGGCUGUCACAAGCAUGGGAGCACGAUGGGAGAGGGCAUCGUCCGCUGGGCUCACUGAGCGCCUCAUCACCGGGAACUCUGUGCACAGGGUGUGCAAAGGGCUGUGUUAGAACCCAGCAGCUGUCUGUCUUCCCUUUGUCCGUCAGUGGAUCUGACCCACCAGUGGGGAGGUGCCACAUGUUUGCUUCAUCAAUGGACUCAGAACACAAGGUAGCCCUACAUUUUAAAACUCUACAGAUUUUAGAAAUAGGUUAUUUUAGAAUCAGUGUUGAUGGCCACACAACUUCAAACAUUCUAAAGGACAUUGACCUGUGCACUUUAAAAGGGUGAAUUUUAUGGUAU